CCAUAUGUGUUCCUAACCCUAGGUCUAACCCAUUAAAGGACCUGAUUCAUGCUAACCCUUUGCUCAUCAUAUUAUGUGGUGUCUUAAUAAUCUUCAAUUCUCAAUUCUAGAUCAUUCAAACUUAAUUCAAAAUUAAAUAUGUGAAAUAUGUGUUUCAGUUUGUAGAACUAUUCUACAAAGGUUUCAAGUGAAGCAUACCAUAUGUUUCAACACAUAA
rnacentral:lncRNA from 1 species